AGAGUUUGAUCCUGGCUCAGGACGAACGCUGGCGGCGCGCUUAACACAUGCAAGUCGAGCGAGAACCGGUCCUUCGGGACCGGGGAAAGCGGCGAACGGGUAAGUAACACGUGGGUAAUCAACCCUCGGUACCGGGAUAGCCCGAGGAAACUCGGAUUAAUACCGGAUGGCCCAACAGCUCUUCGGGGCGGUUGGAAAAGGUAGCUUCGGCCUCCGACCGAGGACGAGCCCGCGGCGGAUUAGCUUGUUGGUGGGGUAACGGCCCACCAAGGCGACGAUCCGUAGCUGGUCUGAGAGGACGAUCAGCCACACUGGGACUGAGACACGGCCCAGACUCCUACGGGAGGCAACAGUGGGGAAUCUUGCACAAUGGGCGAAAGCCUGAUGCAGCGACGCCGCGUGAGGGAAGAAGGCUUUCGGGUUGUAAACCUCUUUCAGGAGGGACGAAGCUACUCGGGUUAAUAGCCCAGAGGGUGACGGUACCUCCAGAAGAAGCCCGGCUAACUACGUGCCAGCAGCCGCGGUA
rnacentral:rRNA from 1 species